AUUGAACGCUGGCGGCAGGCCUAACACAUGCAAGUCGAACGAGUGGCGGACGGGUGAGUAAUGUCUGGUAAACUGCCUGCUGGAGGGGGCUAACUACUGGAAACGGUAGCUAAUACCGCAUACCAUCAGAUGUGCCCAGAGGGGAUUAGCUGGUUGGUGGGGUAACGGCUCACCAAGGCGACGAUCCCUAGCUGGUCUGAGAGGAUGACCAGCCACACUGGAACUGAGACACGGUCCAGACUCCUACGAUAGGCAGCAGUGGGGAAUAUUGCACAAUGGGCGCAAGCCUGAUACAGCCAGGCCGCGUGUAUGAAGAGGGCCUGCGGGGUGUAAAGUACUUUCAGCGGGGAGGCGGUACCCGGAGAAGAAGCACCGGCUAACUCCGUGCCAGCAGCCGCGGUAAUAC
rnacentral:rRNA from 1 species